AUGGCGGCAUAUAUGCGCUCCCAGCUGGUGCUACUCAGGUCGCCAGGGCAGCGACAUCUGUUGAGCUAUCGCUCAUCGUCAUCCUCCUCUGAGCCAAGAACUGCUACGCCUCCACACGCUCCUGCAGUUUCAGAUGCUGCUGGAGGACGUACCAGUACCAAAAGCUCGAUUAAGCACUGGAUUUAUGGACGUCCCGGCUUAGCAUCUAUGCUCUCCUUGCUGGGGCUAUUCACCACCUCAUCCCCCGAUGCGCCAACAUCAACUGGCGGUGCUGUUAGCAUCACCGAUACUGCCGGUAACCAGGGGACUUAUGAACCCCCUCAGAAAAAACGCACAACUUAG
rnacentral:rRNA from 1 species